rnacentral:rRNA from 1 species
CCUACGGGUGGCAGCAGUGAGGAAUAUUGGUCAAUGGGCGGGAGCCUGAACCAGCCAAGUCGCGUGAGGGAAGACGGUCCUAUGGAUUGUAAACCUCUUUAGGCGGGGAGCAAUGCCGGGCACGCGUGCCCGGAGGGAGAGUACCCGCAGAAUAAGCAUCGGCUAACUCCGUGCCAGCAGCCGCGGUAAUACGGAGGAUGCGAGCGUUAUCCGGAUUUACUGGGUGUAAAGGGGGCGCAGACGGCGAUGCAAGCCAGGAGUGAAAGCCCGGGGCCCAACCCCGGGACUGCUCUUGGAAUGGCGGGGCUGGAGGGCAGGAGGGGAAGGCGGAAUUCCUGGGGUAGAGGUGAAAUGCGUAGAUACCGGGAGGAACACCGGUGGCGAAGGCGGCCUGCUGGACUGCAACUGACGUUGAGGCCCGAAAGCGGGGGGAGCAAACAGGAUUAGAUACCCGGGUAGUC